rnacentral:tRNA from 1 species
GCAGGUAUAGCUCAGUGGCAGAGCGUGUGCCUAGCAAGCACAAGGUCCUGGGUUCAAUCUCCACUACCUCCA